CCCGGGCUGCGCAGCCUGAGCCCCGGGCUCCAGCGGGUGCGGCUGGGGACUGACUGAACUCUUCAGGGGCUCACGCAGCUGCUCCAGUGCUGGAUUAAAGGAGGCGCCCCCAGUCUCACUCACAGAGACCCCGGAGGUCGCAAUCCGCUGUCUGGGCGGGCCGCGGGCUGUAGAUGCUCAGGCGGAGAACCAGCGCUCCCGCAGCGCGUGCGGACACACGAGGCCCCCGGGGGCGCACAUGCUGUGCUCCCGGGACUCCCCCCCCUCCUCCCCCCGGGCUGCUCGGGCCCGCCGCCAGCUGGAGCCUGUCCUGGCUGCCCUGGGGGUGGCCGCGGGCCAGCUGCUCCGGCCAGACUGAAGCAGUGCGGCUUGUCCUUGCGGCUUCUCCAUUCCUUCCCUGCUCGGGUGCCCCGGACUCUGUCCUGGGGGACAGAGGGGCUGCUGGAGGGCUUAUUUCUGGGCCCAGGAGUUGGGGCAAGAUCCCAGGCCCCUUGGGAGGGCUGGGCCGGACCGACCCAGAGCCCCACAGAGAUACCCCCAGGCAUGAAUGUCUCCAGGAGGAUCCAUUCUCUCCGGGCCCACCGACCGAAAGCUCCCUCCGUGGCGGGCCCCGGCCGGCCCCGCGCCUGCAGCACCAAGCCCGGAUGGGCCCAGGAGGAGAGGCUGCCCGCCGCCCACACCAUCUACACCGUGGUCAUCCUGGCCCUCCUCAUGCUGGUCCUGGGGGUCUGGGCCCGCAGAGACAUGUGAGAAUCCCUGGUGCAGACGGGCCGGAGCUUGGGCCUGAGGGGGAGAGGGGGCCCCUGGUACCAAGGAGGAAGCAGGCCUUGGGGGAGGUCCUGAUGGUGCAAAGCUGGGCCGGCUCUCAUCUUCUGCCCGCUCACCUUUGGGCCAGGACGCCCGAGCCUUGGUCUCAAAGGCCUCCUUGGCAAAGGACAGCCCGAAGGUCCAGCUGGAGCUGGACUGCACAAGGUGGCUGUGAGCGUGAUGGGAUAAUGACGGGCAGGAAGACCUGGAAGGACUCACGUGAACCGAUGCCCAGGGAAGCGAGCAGAACCCGGAGAACAGUGUGGAUCCUAACGGCAGCGUCACGGGGAGAUCAGCUGGGAAGGACUUAGCCUGGCCGGCCAGGAGCGACCCCAAAGGACUCAGGAGGACAAAGGCUGCCCGCCUCCGGAGGGGGAACCGAGGGCUGAGGCAGAAGCCGGCCUUUUUCCGGUCCUCCCCACUCGGGUUUUUGCUUGUAUUUUCUUUUGUAACCCGGCUAACAUGGAAAUGUUUUUUGCAUGACUGCAAAUAUAUACUCAAUAUCAUAUUUCUGGUCUGGAGGAGGGAUGAGAGAAAAGGAAAGGAUUUGGAACUUUAAAAAUAUUAAAAUUUUAAGAUUUUUUUAAAAAGAAUUUUUUAAAUGAAUGUUAAUUUUAAAAAAAUUUAAGUGGGAAAUAGUUAACAAAUAAAUAAAGUGUAUUUUUAAAAAAUGAUGUAGGGUAUAUUGGAUUACUACAGGAGGGGAUAGAAAGAAGGGGAGAAUCUGGAGCACCAGGUUUUGCAAGGGUCAAUGUUGAAAAAUUUAAAAUGCAUGUUUUGAAAAUAAAAAGCUUUCAAAAAAUACAAAGAAAAUAAAAAGCUUUAAUAAAAAUAAAUUAAUAAAAUGAUGUAAGAUCAGCUCUGUCCUGGCUCCCUGUUUCCAGGUACCCUAGCACACACACACACACACACACACACACACACACACACUCUCUCUCUAUUUCUCCGUGUUUCUUUCUCUGCCUCUGUCUCUACCUCUCCCUAUUUCUCUCUGUAUCUCUGUGUCUGUCUCUCUGUCUCUUUUUCUCUGUCUCUCUGGGGGAGGAGGGAGCCCACUGUUAUGAGUAUGGUACAACUUUUUCUAAAGGACUCUCUCUCCUGCUGCUGCGGAUUUUCCCAAUCACAGGACACCAGGGUAAGUGAGGGCUUCUUCCAUCUCGGGAAGUCUGGAGGGGGUGCUCAGCAGGGGGAGGGGGAGGGGGCAGGUGCCCGUGUUGCACUGAGGGUCCUCUAUGGUCAGAUAGGCUGGUCAUUCUCAUCUUCAUGAUUUCAACUGAUCCUCCCAAGAGGCUUACAAGGUGAAACUCAGUCCGCAUGUAAGUCCCUACUGUGUGUCUGUGGCAGCCUCUCUGUAGUGGCCAGAAACUGGAAAGUGAAUGAAUGUCCAUCAGUUGGAGAAUGAAUAAAUUGUGGUAUAUGAAUAUUAUUGUUCUGUAAGAAAUGACCAGCAGGAUGAUUUCAGAGAGGCCUGGGGAGACUUACAGGAACUGAUGCUGAGGGAAAUGAGCAGGACCAGGAGAUCAUGGUACAGGACAACCACAAGGUUAUAUAAGGAUCAGUUCUGAUGGACGUGGCUCUUUUCAGCAAAGGGGUUGGCUAGCAAGUCACCACAUGGGAGGCAUUUGGACCCACGUCCCCGACUCAGCGUCCACAUCCUCCGGCCACACUUUGUGGCCUCUAAGCCGAGGGGGACGCGGGCUCCCAAAUGUGGCCCCCAUGGCAGGAUGAGCCUGGCCCCUGGGAGCAGGGCCCCGGGGGACCCCCCAGCCACCCUCUGGGAUCAUGGAGGUGGUCUCUGAGACACAGCUGAGCCGGGCUGGGGGAUGUCUGUGGGGAUGCUCUAUGGGAGAAAUGACUGUGAUUGUGGAGGAGCCAAACACUGGACGUGGCUCGGGCCUGGGAGAUGCAGGGGCCUCCCCCACCCCUGCCCUGAGCGUGCAGCAGGAGGCCAAAUAUAGGCAAGG
ensembl:lncRNA